rnacentral:lncRNA from 1 species
GGCUGUUGCGCGGCGCUGGCGGGCGGGGACACCGCCGGGGAGUGGAUACUCCCAGGCGCAAACUGGGGCCUCUACCCGCCCUCCCCUGGGUGCGGAGCCGGACGGCGGGCACUGGCAACCACCGGGACCCUGGAGAGCCCCGCGGCUGCCCAAGACCCGCUCCCGAGACACCUGGCCCCUCCGGACUUGGUUGGUCCCUGGAGCCAGCUGCGCGCGUUCUUUCAGGCCUCCUUGUCGGCGCUGGCGUGGGUCCACGUCUGCCUCGCGGAGCACGGUGGUUCCACGCUCCUGAGCGCCCAUGCUGAGCGCAGACCUGGCCGAUUUGCGAGGCGACGGCAGCGCACUGAAGACCGUGGUGUUUCCCAAGCCCUCCCUGCUCCCGGGUCUCCAGGGCGCAGCAGGGGAGGGUUUUGUCCCCGUGGCCAAAGCUCUGCAGGUCGAACCUUAUCUGCACUGGGAAGGCCCCGCAUUUUCAGAUUCACGCAGGGCCCUCUGCAGACUGUUGGCAGAAACAAGGUAGACACCAAACACAUGCAUAAGCUGGACUUUUUCCAGAAUGUGCUGCAACAGAACUACCCUCCAGAUAGACACCAGCCUGUGGGCCACAGUGCUGCGUGAGUCUUGCAAAGAGAUCUUUAUGGCAAGGCUGAGAGCACUGCCUGCACGCUUUACCAGAGCCCAGCCUCCAGCCUCCAUGGAAAAUAUGUUUCGGAAUCAACACUCUUUCCAAAUACUCCACACUGCUCUCUGGUAGCAUUGGCCUGGGCGCCCAGGCACCCCUUUAGAACCCACCUGUUCCCCCCACCCACCCCAGCGGGAGGAGGAGAGGGUUACGCUGACAGAUAAGGGCAGCUCUGCAGCGCCGGAACAACACAGACAACAUACAACUCGACACAAGUCACAGAAGGUGGCGUCCAUCGCGCUUGGAUGGUGACUACUGCCCUGCAGGCUGCUGGGUGGGGUGAAACAGGGAAGAAGCACAAAUACACACCCAGAUGUGGCUCAGGGACAUUUGAACGCUUCAGUGCGUGAAUUUUUUUAGCGCGUUCUGACUCGAAAUUAUGACUGAAUAGUGGCG